UUUGACACAUUAAAGUACUGCAAUUCUUUCCAGUAUUUUUGUAGAGAGGCUUGUAAUGCGUUGUCUAUAUUUAAAGUUCCUUUCUUAAGAUGGGCCAAACAAUUUCCAAGUUCUCUACGAACCUCCAAACUGUUACCUUUAUUGAGUUCUUUAAUAACUUGAACAAUUUGUUCUCUAUCUUUAGAAGAAGCCUCUUGUAAAAUUUUUUGGAUUUGGUUUAGAGAUUCGGUAACUUGGGUGGCAUUUGCUUCAGCCGUGGGAGUUUGAAGUAUUAAAGAGCGUAAGUCUUGUAAGUAAUUAGCAUUAUCACAACUCCUCUGGUAAAGUUUAUUUAUUUGAUUCACGACUGAUCCUGUUGUGAGCGAAAUUGAAUUAAGCACCUCUAAAUUACGAGAAUCCGCUUCAGGAAUUGGUAGGUAAUUACGAUGCGAAUAUGGAGAUAAUCGGUUAGACAAAUUAGGCAAGGCUGUAGACCUAGGUAUUGAUGGAAGACCAUCAUCAUGAGGGGGAGUAGGCAAAUUCAUAGACGGUUGCCGAAAUGGGUCAUUAAAACUUCCACUAUUAAUUACCGUUAGUACACUAGACAAAAGACGUAAAGUUUGUAAACAUACUCUAUUCCUUUAAGCUGACUUUUGCUUGUGAAAGCAGAUUUGCUCAUGCUCUGCCUCUUAGACACCUCAAGCGCUCGACCUUUAGGAGUUGGCAGUUAUUAAGUGGUUGUUGAUUACUGGAAAGAAGGGACGAUUGAAUUUUCCCAUAUGUAGCAAUCCAAGUUGUACAAAACAUUUUAU